CGUCGGGAGGAAAGUCCGGGCAGCUCGAGCCACCAUGCUUCCUAACGGGAAGAGGCCGCAAGGGCAACCGAGCGGUCAUAGAAAGCGCCACAGAAAAGAUACCGCUUACUGUGCUAGUGCGCCUCCAAAACGGUUGGCCUUCUGCACAAAGCAAGGGUGAAAACGCGGGGUAAGAGCCCACGACGGCGUUGGCGACAGCGCCGAUGGCAAGCCUCAUGGGCUGAAAGACCAUGUAUACCGGUAUGCCUUAGGGCAGCGGGCUGGCUCGCCCGCACUAUCGGGGGGUAGGUUGAUAGAGACCGUCGGCGACGGCGGCCCUAGAUUAAUGAUAGGACACGACAGAACCCGGCUUACAGGCUUC
rnacentral:RNase_P_RNA from 1 species